rnacentral:rRNA from 1 species
UACGUAGGGAGCAAGCGUUGUUCGGAUUACUGGGCGUAAAGGGCGCGUAGGCGGCGCGGUAAGUCACUUGUGAAAUCUCUGAGCUUAACUCAGAACGGCCAAGUGAUACUGCAGUGCUAGAGUGCAGAAGGGGCAAUCGGAAUUCUUGGUGUAGCGGUGAAAUGCGUAGAUAUAGGAAGGAAUACCAGUGGCGAAGGCGGCCUCCUCGGAUCAACACUGACGCUGAGGUGCGAAAGCGUGGGGAGCGAACGAG